UUCAACUACUCACUCUGCUUUAUAACCAUUUAUUUUCCGUCAUUGUAAAUCAGCCGCCCAUUUGCUCCUUCCUUCCAGACUCUGUUGUCUGCCCUGCUUUUUCAUAGUCUUCCUUAGCAUUUACCAAGAAUCUUCCAAGACAAAAUCUCUCUCCUCAAGCCUUCAACCUUUGCCCUUAUUUUCAAUUUGCUUUCUCUGCAAUCAGUUGCUAAGCUUAACAGAUCUCUUUGCAUCUAACAGCCUCAAGCCUCCAGGAUUCUUGGAUAUUCAGCUGAAAAGGGGAAGAAAGAAGGGUGAAGAGUUGCUCAAAUUAUCCUUGGAAUGUAAAGGUAGGGUGCAAGCUAAGGGAGAUGGCUACUAGGUAUGAGGAAGUUGUGACCAUGUAUUUGAGGAUGACUGUUGAAGGGAAUUCCAAUAAGAUGAACAAAAGAGUUCCAACAGUGGUGUUGGCAAAGGAGCUUACUAUUUAUGGAAAGGAAAAUAAUGAGUAUUCUAUAUUUGAAUUGUUGAUGAGUAAUAAAGGAAAUAUCUUGAGUUUUUGUGCUUUUAAUAGGCAUGGAUGGAGUAGGGAAGAAAUUUCAACCCCAAAUUAUGUGCAACGAUGAUAUCGGGAAAUUUGAUAAUAAAGCAUGAAUUUAUGUUUCUAAUGAAUUUAACAUUCUUGUUUGGAAAGAAGUUUUCAGUCAGUCUAGAUGAUGUUUGGACCGAGAAUUAGGAGCAUUAUAGUAUUGAUAUCCUUCAAGUUUUGAGAUUGAGCUAUUAUCAUCUUCCUUCACAGGGAAUGGUGUUAUGCUUAUUGUGCAAUUUUUCCUAAGGAUAUCGAAUUAGACAAGAAUGAGUUGGUUUUGUUAUGGAUGGCAUAAGAAGUUUUAGAAUAUACAUAGACUCAUGCUUUAUAACUAUUAACAUUAUAUCAUCAUGAAGAUAAAAUGUGUGAUAUAUGAUCUGGUAAGUGAUCUAGCUCAAUUUGUUGGUGGAGAAAUGUGUUUUAACUUGAAUUAUAUCAUCAUGGAGAUAAUAUGUGAUGUGUGAUCUGGUAAGCGAUUAGCUAUUUUUGUUGGUGGUUAUAUCAUCAUGAAGAUAAUGCAUAGUGUGUGAUUUGCUAAGUGAUUUAGCUCAAUUUGUUAACGGAGAAGUAUGCUUUAAUUUGGAUGAUAAAUUGGAGGUUACAAAAUCUUGUAUAAAGGUUCAACAUUCAUCAUUCACUUCUUGGUUAUCUUGCUAAAGUUUUAAGCUGUCUACAAAAUCAAGAGCUUGAGAACGUUCUCCUAAUAUUAUCAACUUUUUCAUUAUGAGUAACAAUGGCUUAGUUACAAAUUAAAAUUCUUGAAAUUAGUAGAGUUAGUUGGGGACAACAGGAUUGAUGAAUCUUCCUUAUCUAGAAGGGAAGCUUGACAUUACAAUAAUGUGGUUAGUAAUUGAGAUGUAAAGUCUACUGCUCUAAAGGAGAAGUAAGCUGUUGAAGGAUUAGACUUGGGUUUAGUUGAUGAUUUCCAAGAUAAGUAAGGUGAAUUGGUAAUGAAAGGCAAAAGUUGGAGUACAAAUACAAUUUCCUUUCUAGAUGAGGGUGGCUUACCACUUCCCACUAAUUAAUUUGGAAUGCCUUUGUGGAGAGCCUCCAAAACCUCACUUCUCUAGAAGAUUUAUGGAUAUUAAGUUUCCUCAAACUCCAAUUCUCACCACACUUGGAUACCAGGCGUUCAAGUCUUGUUCUCUUCUCAAACAUCAGUUGUCUAAAGAAAAAUGAGACUAUUGGCCCAUUGUCGCUUGCAUCCUCGUAAAUAGAAUUGAGAUAAAGUUCAGUAUAAAAGAGACAAUGAAUUGAUGGUACAAAUCUGUGGCACUACUCAAAUUUUCUGCUUGAAAAAGAGAAGAGUUCAGAUAGCUGCAAACAGUAAUGUUUAUGUGAAGCCAUCAAAGACACACCAGCACACAACUUGGAGGUCUCAGAAGGAUGAGAAAUGGAAGCUCAAUUUUACUCCUCACUAGAAUGUGAUUGGCUUCUUUUACAUUAUCCUUGUGGCUGCUUCAAGCCGCCUUCAACCACCAAAGUAUGCAAGUCCUUCACCCACCAGCACCCUCUUGCUACAGGGGCUUUCAUCGGAACCUCAUGGAAAAUUCUCAGUCAGUCAGGAUUUUUACAAUGUCACACAGAAAAUCCUCUUUCAGGUUUGCAACUUGCGAGAAUGACCCAAUAAUGAGGUGGAGCUGAGCAUAGCGGGAGGUGGAAUGCUGACUUCUGCACUUAUUGUAUUUGCUGCUACUAGGUAGGCGAAGAAUGUGUCGUGUGUGGAAUAACGUAACUGCACUCUUUUCUUAUUUAACUGUAUUCAAGUUUCUUUGAAGACACGAAGAGGAUCAUAGUUUAUAGCAUUUGCAAGACUUUAACGAGAAUGUUAUUUGUAUGGAUCAUAUGUGUGGAUCAAUAUUGAACAUUGCAACAUCAGUUUCUUGUGAUAUCAUUUACUGCUUCUGAUCAAA